rnacentral:misc_RNA from 1 species
GUUCUAUCAAGAGUAGCCUUAAGCCUCAAUCCCCAAAUUUUUUGGCCAUCUUCACUUCCUUCCCUUUCAGCGAGACCUCUCUCCUUCCAAGCACCAAUCUCAUUUACAAUAGCCACACAUUCUUCUGGCUUCCAACCAGAUAAACCCAGCUGAUGAACACCAAAAAUAAGGGCAUCCAGUGGAUCAUUCCAAGAGCUUACAUUCUUCGACUUCACAUUUUCUGC